GGGUGCGUAGCUCAGUUGGAUAGAGCACUAGAUUCCGGUUCUAGGUGUCGGGGGUUCGACUCCCUCCGUGCUCG
rnacentral:tRNA from 1 species